rnacentral:rRNA from 1 species
AGAGUUUGAUCCUGGCUCAGGAUGAACGCUAGCGGCAGGCUUAAUACAUGCAAGGCGAGGGGGCAGCAAUGUCACCGUCGUACGGGUGCGUAACGCGUAUGCAACCUGCCCCUUACACGGGAAUAGCCCUCCGAAAGGAGGAUUAAUACCCGAUGGUACCUUAGGAUGACAUCGUUCUGAGGUUAAAGAUUUAUCGGUAAGGGAUGGGCAUGCGUCUGAUUAGCUAGUUGGCGGGGUAACGGCCCACCAAGGCGACGAUCAGUAGGGGUUCUGAGAGGAUGAUCCCCCACACCGGUACUGAGACACGGACCGGACUCCUACGGGAGGCAGCAGUAAGGAAUAUUGGUCAAUGGGCGAGAGCCUGAACCAGCCACGCCGCGUGCAGGAAGAAGGCCCUACGGGUUGUAAACUGCUUUUAUACGGGAAGAAAGUCCCCCUUGCGAGGGGGUGUGACGGUACCGUAGGAAUAAGCAUCGGCUAACUCCGUGCCAGCAGCCGCGGUAAUACGGAGGAUGCAAGCGUUAUCCGGAUUCAUUGGGUUUAAAGGGUGCGUAGGCGGACUUGUAAGUCAGGGGUGAAAUCCGGCAGCUCAACUGUCGAACUGCCUCUGAUACUGCAGGUCUUGAGUCAACAUGAAGCAGGCGGAAUAUGGCAUGUAGCGGUGAAAUGCAUAGAUAUGCCAUAGAACACCGAUAGCGAAGGCAGCCUGCUAAAGUUGUACUGACGCUGAUGCACGAAAGCGUGGGUAGCGAACAGGAUUAGAUACCCUGGUAGUCCACGCCGUAAACGAUGUCAACUAGCCGUUGGGAGCCUUGAGCUCUUAGUGGCGCAGCUAACGCAUUAAGUUGACCGCCUGGGGAGUACGGCCGCAAGG